rnacentral:rRNA from 1 species
GGCAGAUCCAUUUUCUGCCACCGAAUACAUUAGCAUGGGAUAAUGGAAUAGGACCCUGUCCUCCUAUUUUCAGUUGGUUUUGGCAGCGCGAGGACUAGGGUAAUGAUUAAUAGGGAUAGUUGGGGGCAUUAAUAUUUAAUUGUCAGAGGUGAAAUUCUUGGAUUUAUGAAAGAUUAACUUCUGCGAAAGCAUCUGCCAAGGAUGUUUUCAUUAAUCAAGAACGAAAGUUAGGGGAUCGAAGACGAUCAGAUACCGUCGUAGUCUUAACCAUAAACGAUGCCGACCAGCGAUUAGGAGACGUUGAAUACAAAACACCACCAUCGGCGCGGUCGUCCUUGGCGUCUCGGUCCUUCACGGGGCCGGGGCGCGGGGGCGGCUUAGCCCGGUGGCACCGGUGAAUGACUCCCCUAGCAGCUUGUGAAAA